rnacentral:rRNA from 1 species
GAGCGAAUCACUGAGGAGCUUGCUCCCNGGUGGUAAGCGGCGGACCGGUGAGUAAACGUGGGCAACUGCCUGUAAGACUGGGAUACUUCGGGAAACCGGAGCUAAUACCGGAUAAUUCUUUUCCUCUCAUGAGGAAAAGCUGAAAGUCGGUUUCGGCUGACACUUACAGAUGGGCCCGCGGCGCAUAAGCUAGUUGGUGAGGUAACGGCUCACCAAUGCGACGAUGCGUAUCCGAUCUGAGAGGGUGAUCGGCCACUCUGGGACUGAGACACGGUCCAGACUCCUACGGGAGGCAGCAGUAGGGAAUCUUCCACAAUGGACGAAAGUCUGAUGGAGCAUCGCCGCGUGAGCGAAGAAUGCCUUCGGGUCGUAAAGCUCUGUUGUCAGGGAAGAACAAGUAUCGGAGUAACUGCCGGUACCUUGACGGUACCUGACCAGAAAGCCACGGCUAACUACGUGCCAGCAGCCGCGGUAAU